rnacentral:rRNA from 1 species
GACGAACGCUGGCGGCGUGCUUAACACAUGCAAGUCGAGCGGUAAGGCCUUUCGGGGUACACGAGCGGCGAACGGGUGAGUAACACGUGGGUGACCUGCCCUCCACUUCGGGAUAAGCCUGGGAAACUGGGUCUAAUACGGGAUGGGACCAUUCCAUGCAUGUGGGGUGGUGGAAAGUCGGUGCUGUUGUGGUGCUGGCGGUGGGGAGUGGCCGGCGGUCGUAUCAGCUUGUUGGUUGGGGGNGGUAGUGGUC